GAUGAACGCUGGCGGCGUGCCUAAUACAUGCAAGUCGAGCGAACAGACGAGGAGCUUGCUCCUCUGACGUUAGCGGCGGACGGGUGAGUAAUACGUGGAUAACCUACCUAUAAGACUGGGAUAACUUCGGGAAACCGGAGCUAAUACCGGAUAAUAUAUUGAACCGCAUGGUUCAAUAGUGAAAGACGGUUUUGCUGUCACUUAUAGAUGGAUCCGCGCCGCAUUAGCUAGUUGGUAAGGUAACGGCUUACCAAGGCAACGAUGCGUAGCCGACCUGAGAGGGUGAUCGGCCACACUGGAACUGAGACACGGUCCAGACUUCUACGGGAGGCAGCAGUAGGGAAUCUUCCGCAAUGGGCGAAAGCCUGACGGAGCAACGCCGCGUGAGUGAUGAAGGUCUUCGGAUCGUAAAACUCUGUUAUUAGGGAAGAACAAAUGUGUAAGUAACUAUGCACGUCCUGACGGUACCUAAUCAGAAAGCCACGGCUAACUACGUG
rnacentral:rRNA from 1 species